CAGUAGCCGCGGUAAUACGUAGGGUGCGAGCGUUAAUCGGAAUUACUGGGCGUAAAGCGUGCGUAGGCGGUUCGUUAAGUCGGAUGUGAAAUCCCUGGGCUUAACCUGGGAACUGCAUUCGAGACUGGCGAGCUAGAGUAUGGUAGAGGGUGGUAGAAUUCCAUGUGUAGCAGUGAAAUGCGUAGAGAUGUGGAGGAAUACCGAUGGCGAAGGCAGCCACCUGGCCUAAUACUGACGCUGAGGUACGAAAGCGUGGGGAGCAAACAGGAUUAGAUACCCCUGUAGUCCCUGUCUCUUAUAC
rnacentral:rRNA from 1 species